rnacentral:tRNA from 1 species
ACCUGUCUAGCUCAGUCGGUGGAGCAUGUGACUCUUGAUCUCAGGGUCAUCAGUUCAAACCCCAUGUUGGGUG